rnacentral:rRNA from 1 species
UACAGAGGUCCCAAGCGUUGUUCGGAUUCACUGGGCGUAAAGGGUGCGUAGGCGGUUGGGUAAGUCUGUCGUGAAAUCUCCGAGCCUAACUCGGGAACUGCGUCGGAUACUAUUCAACUCGAGGAAUGGAGGGGAGACUGGAAUUCUCGGUGUAGCAGUGAAAUGCGUAGAUAUCGAGAGGAACACCAGUGGCGAAGGCGAGUCUCUGGACAUUUCCUGACGCUGAGGCACGAAAGCCAGGGGAGCAAACGGG